UUUUAUGGAGAGUUUGAUCCUGGCUCAGGACGAACGCUGGCGGCGUGCCUAAUACAUGCAAGUCGAGCGAAUGAUGAGAAGCUUGCUUCUCUGAUUUAGCGGCGGACGGGUGAGUAACACGUGGGCAACCUGCCCUGUAGACUGGGAUAACUUCGGGAAACCGGAGCUAAUACCGGAUAAUUCUUUUAGCCUCAUGGCUUUAAGCUAAAAGGCGCUUCGGCGUCACUACAGGAUGGGCCCGCGGUGCAUUAGCUAGUUGGUGGGGUAACGGCCUACCAAGGCAACGAUGCAUAGCCGACCUGAGAGGGUGAUCGGCCACAUUGGGACUGAGACACGGCCCAAACUCCUACGGGAGGCAGCAGUAGGGAAUCUUCCACAAUGGACGAAAGUCUGAUGGAGCAACGCCGCGUGAGUGAUGAAGGUUUUCGGAUCGUAAAACUCUGUUGUAAGGGA
rnacentral:rRNA from 1 species